rnacentral:lncRNA from 1 species
AAACAAUGUUGAGUUCCGUUUUUAAACUGUCGUAGUUCAGUCGUGUCUCUUCCAAAAAAAUAAGCGGCUGGAAGAAGGUGGAAGGAACACUGCUGACUUCACUCCACGUUAGAGCAUGGAAUAAUUGAUAGAUGUGGAGUUUGUGCAGAACACUUAGCAGAUUAUUCCGAUUGGAAUGGCAACUCUUGUAAACCAUACAAUUAAAAUGAACUACAACUUCCGUUUAAGAACCCAACAGCUUUUACGUCCACGUUGAAGAGUGUUAGGAUUAAACGGUUUCUGUUACAAAACAUAUGAAACGUUUUGCAACAUAAUCGGCGUAAUGAAUACACCCCCAGGUACUUGCGGUUGUGUUUGAAUGUGAGCUGUGACUGGGCCGUGUGAUCCCGGUCCAAAGACCAAUGUUAUGGCUCAAGAAUCUUCAUAAACUAUCAUUUUAGGAACUCUGUACGGCAAGCAUUGGGGGGGGCAACAAGAGCACCCACGUCUCGUAUGAAGAGGGCAUUAGGAUUAAUUGGCAGGACAUCCAACCGGCCUCAUAACCGCAGACUAAGUGUAACCACACCAGCCCAGGACCUCCACAUCCAGCUUCUUCACCUGCGGGAUCGUCUGAGACCAGCCACCCGGACAGCUGAUGAAACUGAGGAGGAUUUCUGUCUGUAAUAAAGAGUUGACAGUUCUUCAAAGUCACCACAGAGAACUUCAAGAAGGACAAACACGACGUUUGCAACACCUUCAAGUGUGUUGACAUCAAGCCAGUGUGUGGUGACCAGCAGAGUCAGAUCCUGAAGUGCUUCAGGGAAAACAUAGGACAGACCCUCGCCUGCUCUGGCAUCGCCAACCUUUACAUGCAGUGUGUGGAUAACCACAAGACUAAGUGCACUGGAGGGUAGAAGAGCCUUAAUUUCCACCAAUUGCAUUACUGUUAAACCAAAGGGACAGGCACCAUCAGCCAUCAAGGCACACCAAAGCCAGUUGAACUGUACAGACACCAGGGCCACAGCAGCUGUUCCACCAUUCCUUACUCCCAUCCAUGGUAUCUGUAUGAACUUGGCACAGGGUCAGAGGUAGAACGAGGAGACCAUGUCUUGACCCAGUCCAGGCUAUGACAGACCACUGGUACUGUCUUCGCUGGUACUGAUGUCAAAGGAUGUGGUAGAUUGGGUCUGAAAGUGAAGGAAGUGCAGUUCAAAUUGACAGUGCUACUACCACAGGAAACGGACAGUGUUACCAUGACUACACUAACACAAGAAAUAAAGCAUAGCUGGUGCUUCAAACACAUCUCAUCCCUGACUGGACGUAAACGCAUCAUAUAAUAUAUCCACCAAUCGAAAUAAUGGGAUUAAUAUUUUGCUAUUUACAGCAGUAAGAAACAUAAGGAAUGGCCGCGUUGUGAAAUAUAUUGUGCAUCGUUUGUGGAGUUAAUAUGAACCUAUGCCUUAAUGUUCCAUCAAAACAUAUUUCUGAAUCAUGGAGGGUGUGAAAGGGAGUUGUUCUGAGCUCAAUAAAUUGUUGUGAAACCCCUAUCAGCCUUCAGAUUUGAAUGUAUAUCAGUUUAGUGAUAAGAAUGUGAAAUGAAAAGAGAAUGUUCGAUUUACUUGGAUAGCACUACGUGUGGACAUGCUUCCCUUCCUAUAGAACAUUUACACAGUUGGAUAUGGAGAGCAUAACAAGUCAACAACAUACCCAAAGAGUACUUUAUCUUUAAAACGGUUAGCAUUUUAACUUUACCUGUGUGGAAAUAGAUCAUCUUUUGAUACCUGUCACUCUGUGUAUAGGUUACUGCGCUCAUGUUUUUUUGGCCAUUGGAUUGCGCACCAUUUUGUAAUACUGCAGCCUGAGAUGGGGCGACCCGGGUGUACUGUAUCUCAGAGGUGGCACCACAGGUCCCAGUGUGGUGUGGCGUAGAAAAAUUCUAGUUUUUCCUAAUCUGGUAACCUAACCAAGUAAAAUGCUGAACCUUACACGGUAUAACGUGAUUCAUCUGUUGUAAAAUGGGCUAUGAUGGGACCAGAGUUUUUGGUUGAAAAAACUCCUGGAAAAACUCCUGGCCUUGGGGAGGAUGAAAACCCUGUCAAACUGCAGCAACCUUAUACUUGUUCAUAUGAAUUAUAUUUUAAAACAGGACUAACGGGGUUUCCUAUACAUAGGCACAUAGAAAGCAACAUAAUUUUACAAUUAAACUCACAGGGCUGCACUUGCUUUAUGCAGGUUUGCAUUGUGUAGUCAUGCCCUAUGCAAUUAACUGUGUGCCUCAUUAAAAAUGUAUUCAGUCUGUCAGCUAUUGUAUUUAUUGAUUCAUUCCAGUUAAUCAUUUUGGAUUGGAAAAAGUCUAGGUAGCCUAGUCAGCCCAAAUUUGAAUAUAAAACCAAUUUGAUCCCAUUCACAUUUCCUCACACACAAAUGGGCUAUAAAUGCACACAAUUACCACUUAAUGUAC